AGCAGCCGCGGUAAUUCCAGCUCCAAUAGCGUAUAUUAAAGUUGUUGCAGUUAAAAAGCUCGUAGUUGAAUUUCGGGGUCAAUACGUCGGUCGUGCCUCGGUACGCACUAACGUUAUUGAUCCCUCCCUUCUGACGAACCGUGAUGUCAUUAAUUUGGUGUUGCGGGGAAUCAGGACUGUUACCUUGAAAAAAUUAGAGUGUUUAAAGCAGGCAAUCGCUCGAAUACAUUAGCAUGGAAUAAUGAAAUAGGACGUUCGAACCUAUUUUGUUGGUUUCUAGGAUCGACGUAAUGAUUAAUAGGGAUAGUUGGGGGCAUUAGUAUUCAAUUGUCAGAGGUGAAAUUCUUGGAUUUAUUGAAGACUAACUACUGCGAAAGCAUUUGCCAAGGAUGUUUUCAUUAAUCAAGAACGAAAGUUAGGGGAUCGAAGACGAUCAGAUACCGUCGUAGU
rnacentral:rRNA from 1 species